rnacentral:rRNA from 1 species
UACGAAGGGGGCUAGCGUUGUUCGGAAUUACUGGGCGUAAAGCGCGCGCAGGCGGUCUUCCAAGUCAGUGGUGAAAGCCCGGAGCUCAACUCCGGAACUGCCAUUGAAACUGUUGGACUUGAGUACGAGAGAGGUGAGUGGAAUUCCCAGUGUAGAGGUGAAAUUCGUAGAUAUUGGGAAGAACACCCGUGGCGAAGGCGGCUCUCUGGGACGGUACUGACGCUGAGGAGCGAAAGUGUGGGGAGCGAACAGG